CCAGCUGUGGCGCAACUGGCUGGAGCACCGGCACCGUAUGCCGGCGACCCGGGUUCGAUUCCCGCCCCGUGGU
rnacentral:tRNA from 1 species